GACGAACGCUGGCGCCGUGCCUAAUACAUGCAAGUCGAACGCUGAAGGAGGAGCUUUCUUCUCUGGAUGAUUUGCGAACGGGUGAGUAACGCGUAGGUAACCUGCCUGUUAGCGGGGGAUAACUAUUGGAAACGAUAGCUAAUACCGCAUAUAAGUAGAUGUUGCAUGACAUUUGCUUAAAAGAUGCAAUUUUGUCACUACCAGAUGGACCUGCGUUGUAUUAGCUAGUUGUUGGGGUUACGGCUUAACAAGGCGACGAUACAUAGCCGACCUGGGAGGGGGAACGGCCCAACUGGGACUGGGACACGGGCCAGACCCCUAAGGGAGGCAGCAGUUGGGAAUCUUUCGGAAUGGACGGAAGUCUGACCGAGCAACGCCGCGUGGGUGAAGAAGGUUCUCGGAUCGGAAAGAUCCGUUGUUAGGGGAGAAAGAGUGUGAGAGUGGAAAGUUCACACUGUGACGGUACCUUAUCAGAAAGCGACGGCUAACUACGUG
rnacentral:rRNA from 1 species